GACGAACGCUGGCGGCGUGCCUAAUACAUGCAAGUCGAACGCAGUGGGGACGGGUGCGUAACACGUGGGUAACCUCCCAUCAGAGGGGAUAACACUUGGAAACAGGUGCUAAACCGAUACUGAUGGAUGGAGCCGCUGUGGAUUAGCUAGUUGGUGAGGUAACGGCUCACCAAGGCCACGAUGCAUAGCUGAGCUGAGAGGAUGAUCGGCCACACUGGAACUGAGACACGGCCCAGACUCCUACGGGAGGCAGCAGUAGGGAAUCUUCGGCAAUGGACGAAAGCCUGACAGAGCCAUGCCGCGUGAGUGAAGAAGGUUUUCGGAUCGUAAAACACUGUUGUCAGAGAAGCGGUACCUAAACAGAAAGCAACGGCUAACUCCGUGCCAGCAGCCGCGGUAAUAC
rnacentral:rRNA from 1 species